AUAAAUUUUAGGUCGGUUCAGUUGCUUGGUCAUAUCUGACAUUUUGCGACCCCAUGGACUGCAGCAUGUCAGGCCUCCCUGUCCAUCACCAACUCCUGGAGUCCACUCAAACCCAUAUCCAUUGAGUCGGUGAUGCCAUCCAGCCAUCUCAUCCUCUGUC